rnacentral:rRNA from 1 species
UACGAAGGGGGCUAGCGUUGUUCGGAUUUACUGGGCGUAAAGCGCACGUAGGCGGAUCGUUAAGUCGGGGGUGAAAUCCUGGAGCUCAACUCCAGAACUGCCUUCGAUACUGGCGAUCUUGAGUCCGGAAGAGGUGAGUGGAACUCCUAGUGUAGAGGUGGAAUUCGUAGAUAUUAGGAAGAACACCAGUGGCGAAGGCGGCUCACUGGUCCGGUACUGACGCUGAGGUGCGAAAAGCGUGGGGAGCGAACGGG